UUCAGUCUGAUUUCCCUCUCCUGCAUGCACCAGACUGGACCAAGCCUUUGAAAACAUGCAUACCUAAACAUGCAUUCAGGGAACAAGCCUGAACUGGUUCUCAGGAGCAGCAUGCAGGAUUAAAAAGUUGCCACUAGGCCACAUACCAAGUUUAUUGUGAACUUCGUAGGAACAGAGAGGAUAGAAUGCAGACCUUCACCCUUGGAAAGUAUGCUCACCUAUUCAGCUUCAGUGACUGGAAUGAUGACAAACCAAUCUUUACAAAAAUACCAUACUUUUUAGAAAAGAGAGCAUGAGUAUUGUUUUCUAAAGGAAAUGCAUUGCACUAUCCAAGUGCAACUCAUCAAGAUGUCAACUUGGAAUGAGAUGAAGCAUUUCCUGUUGUGGCCCAAUAUGUCCGUUGGAUCACAACCUUCAUACAAAAGAAGAUUACUCCUACUAUUACAGAUUACUCAUGUAAUCUUCUCUGUUUUAUCCGAGUGAUUCUGCCCUUGAGAUCUUGGCAAGCUACCAACCCAGACCUCAGUUGGGCAAAGCUUGGGUGCCCAUGCAUCAGAUUCCAUGUUGAUUGGUAGUGGUAAAAACAUACACAGGGUGAAAUGUCCUUUUUCAUGAUUCUGCUUACUGUUUAAAUAGUGCAAAAUGUAUGAGAGGUCAGGAGGAAAGCUAUGCCAGCUAUGUCAGGAGGAAAGGCUCUAAAUAUAGAAGGGGAAGUUAAUGCUCUAUCAUUUGAAGGCAAGCAGCAGCUGGCAAAGUACUGGAAUUUUCUCAAGAAUGGCACAUUAAUUUGACAUUAUUAGAAACCGGCUCUGGAUGAAACUAAAUGGAUCAUAAAAGGAUUAAUAAAAGAAUGUCCUAAAGAUUAAGAGCUUUCCAUUUUCUUUUUGGCAAUAAUAUAUUUGAGUUUUAUACAAUGGAAAAGAUUUAAUGAUCUUUUCACAUACACUUUACUUACACUGCUAUACAAUUCUUUUUGUUAUGGCCCUUAUAGAGGUGCUAGGAGGCUUGGUAGUAUAAGAUCACUGUACGCACAUUAAGAAAAAAAAUUUUUGAUCACUUGACAGAGGCAGGUGUAAGAAGGAGCUAGUUUAAACUUUUUAUUGUCCAAUCAUUUUGAUCCUUCCAGUAAGAACUGGAUGAACUUUUCAUAGUGAACAAUUCAUCUUCAUUUUUCCUCUCUACAAUUGUUGGAAAUAAACAUGGAUUAUACAAUCGUUUUAUGGGAUCAUGGGGGAAACUUUCAGUGUAAAGUGGGGAAAACAUAUCUGAAUAUAUUUAUGAAUACUCUUGA